GGCACUGCAAGCCAGAAAAACUCCAACAGGUGAACAGCCUUGUUUAAGAUAUUAGUACUUGAUUGAUAACAAAAUAAAUCAAGCGAGUGGAGCGGUAGUCGGCUGUCAGUAUGCACAUGGACGGAAAAGCAGCAGAUGAGUUGGUCUUCUUCGUAAACGGGAAGAAGGUUACAGAGAAGAAUGCCGACCCAGAGAUGUCACUGCUGGAGUAUCUGAGGACGAAAUUGCGGCUGACUGGUACUAAGCUGGGCUGUGCCGAGGGUGGAUGCGGAUCAUGCACGGUAAUGGUAUCCAGAUAUGACCAGGCCACGCAGAA